AGAGCGAACGCUGGCGGCAGGCCUAACACAUGCAAGUCGAGCGCUCCGCAAGGGGAGCGGCAGACGGGAGAGUAACACGUGGGAACGUACCCUUCAGUUCGGAACAACCCAGGGAAACUUGGGCUAAUACCGAAUACGUCCGUAAGGAGAAAGAUUUAUCGCUGAAGGAUCGGCCCGCGUCUGAUUAGCUUGUUGGUGAGGUAACGGCUCACCAAGGCGACGAUCAGUAGCUGGUCUGAGAGGAUGAUCAGCCUCACUGGGACUGAGACACGGCCCAGACUCCUACGGGAGGCAGCAGUGGGGAAUAUUGGACAAUGGGCGCAAGCCUGAUCCAGCCAUGCCGCGUGGGUGAUGAAGGCCCUAGGGUUGUAAAGCCCGUUUCGGCGGGGAAGAUAAUGACGGUACCCGCAGAAGAGCCCGGCUAACUUCGCGCCAGCAGCCGC
rnacentral:rRNA from 1 species